ensembl:lncRNA
CCUCCUGGCGUCCCCGGCUGCCGCUCCUCCGCCUCGCUGCUCAUAAAAGAGAGGGGGGCCGCGAGCAGGAGCCGCGGCCGCACGCCCGCCGGCGGCCCCUGCCGCCGCAGCUCCGCGGACGCGGGCACCGGGCACCGGGCACAGCCCGCCUGCCUGCCGCCGUCCGCAACCAGCGGCGCCUGCAAACGCCCCCCUCCGCUGCCACCGAGAAGCCGAGGGUGGCUGGGACGGCGGGAGGAGAGCCUCACUCGUGUCAAUAUGACAACCUUCCUGCCUGCUGUCUCUCUCUCUCUCUCCCCCUCCACCCUCCUCCUCCUCCACCUCCUCCUUCCUCCCCUGGUGUUCCAGGGAUGUUAAUCUCCUAAUGACACAAAAAUACCAUCCAAAGGUUUGAAAUCAAGCGGGGGGAGGGGUGGCAGAGGGGGGGAAGGGCAGAGGGUGCGUGGAAUAAUCAACAGGCGGGUCUCCCUUUAGAUACAGCUACGUGGAGGAGCAAGAGCUGCGGAGAGUGGGUGCUAAACGGGCUCCCGGGGGUGGGCAACACUGAAAAAAAAAAUAAAUUAAAAUAAAAAAAAGGCGGAUUAAAAAUGAAACCCAGCCAGGAGACCAGGCUAAACGCAGGAAAAGUGGGGCAGCGCUGCCGGAGAGAAAGCAGAAGGCAGGAGGGAAAGGCAGGGCGAUCCUCUUCGCACGUCCGAGAGCAUCUCACCGGAGCUGGGGAGCGUGAGGCGCCUGCGCGCCGCUCGCCCGGGGAGCCGGGCACGGCCCCCGCCGGGCAUCCGCGGCAGGGGAGCUGCGGGGGGGACCGCCCGCGCCCUGCGCAGCGCCGAGCACCCGCACCCGCGGGGCGCCGAGGGGCAAAUACUUCACCUUACCCUGCAUAGUGAAGAACACAUUUUUUUUACCACCUGAUGGCACAAAUAUAAAGAAGGAACCUUGGAACCUGUGUCUGAAACAAGAACAUAAUUACAGCAAAUAACCACCUAUAAAACUGCUGGAGUACAUUUGACACAGUGCUACGUUUUCCAACUAAAUUUACCUGCUGCAGAUAGCAGUAGACUGGUUCAGGUUUUGUGAACUAUGAACAACACUUUGUGGGCUAUACUGCACUUCUAGCUCAUUUCUAAGGAAAAUAUGUGGUUGGUUUUGAUAUAUAAUGCCCUCAAAGUUCUGGAUAUUGGCCAGAUCCAAGCCAGCUCUUCCUGUUGAACAUCCUUGUAUUUGUAACCAGAGACCACAAUGGAAAUAAAUGUAGUAUUGACUGGAAAGGGUGAUUAAAGUACAGAUUUAUCACCUCUUGUGUUGCAAAACCUAUCUGUUCAGCUUUUUCCUGAGAAGCAAGCUGACUUGGUUAUUUGGGUCAAUGGAAGUAGAAAUCUUUUCUUCAUGGAGAGUUGGGCAGUGUAUGGAUCUAGAUCAGACUGAGAAGUCUCUGUUUCGCUGGACCUUAGGAGCAGUCUUGAAUUAGAGGUCUACUCAGAAUUUCAGAAUGUCUAUUGUUAUUUAUUUUGUGCAUAUAGCUUAUCUAUUUAAUAAAGAUUUAUUUUUCACUGUCUAUUCUGUUUUACCGUAUUAAACCCUGUACUUUUUUUUUUUUUUCUUCUUCUCACAUCCCACAAUUUCAGGCAGCCACUGCUUGAUGCAUUGGCUGGAGAUCACCUUUGGAAGCAAUAUUUUUUAUAGAACUAGAGCUUUUCAGAUUCAUGGCAAAUUUAGAAUUAAGAAGGUCAAUGUUUAACAUCACUAGAUUUUUUGUCUUGGGUUAUUUUUUUUCUGUGUAAGGAUUGCAAAGAUCUUCAUCUUUUAUCCAUAGUUAGUGCUGCUUACUUGUAACAGAAUGACAUGAUCUAUCAUCUAAGACAGGGAUAUAUAUAUUUUUUUUUCCUUCUCACCCCCUCUGACAGUAAAAGUAAGGACUCUGCAUAAAUCUAUAGAGAAAUUUCUGCAGACUCAUUCUAGCGGGCACAGCUUAUUAAUGCCACCACACAAAAAAAAAGAGAUGUGCCUAGCAAGAGAAAAGCAGUGAUAUGGGCAGAACAGAAGAGGUCCUGCAGAAAAUGGUAGGAAAGGCCAGGCUUAAAUGUAGAGAUUCAACAUAGUUUUUUCCUCCUCUCAUGGAUCUUUGAAAUAUAUUCAUUGUUCUUUCUAGAUUUUGAGGAAAGUUUGGGAAAAAAUAAGUGAAAGUUUAUUUUCCAAAACAUUGAGAUUUUUUUUUGGAAUCAGCAUCCACACUCUCAUUCCUAAUCCAAGAAAUACAGAUUAGAUUUCCAUACGGCUACUGAAAUACUGCUUGAAUGGAUUUCAUGAGCAUCAUAAUAACUAUUCCUUUUUUUUUUUUUUUUUAUGAUUUUAAAGUUUGAUUUCCAUUUUAUGAAUUCUAAUGGAAAACAAAUGAACCAGGUAUUUCUGAUUCAUACCACUUCUACAGAUACACAACUUGAGCUAUAAGUUUGAAUUUAUCUCAACAGAGUGUUUCUAGAGCUGAAAUAUAAUGUCCCCAGUCACAAUAAGCAAAAAACUUAAAACACCUACAAAUUUCACAUUUAGGAAACAGUGCUCGACCCAAACAGUGUACUCCAAAUAAAUUACUUACUGUUUUAGAU